GAUGAACGCUAGCGGCAGGCUUAAUACAUGCAAGUCAAGGGGUAGCAAUACAACCGGCGCACGGGUGAGUAACGCGUACACAACAUACCAUAUACUGGAGUAUAGCUUUGGGAAACUGAAGGUAAUCCUCCAUAACAUUGCGAGAGGGCAUCUGAUUGCAAUUAAAGUUCCGGCGGUAUAUGAUUGGUGUGCGUUUGAUUAGCUAGUUGGUAGGGUAACGGCCUACCAAGGCGACGAUCAAUAGCUGGCGUGAGAGCGCGACCAGCCACACUGGAACUGAGACACGGUCCAGACUCCUACGGGAGGCAGCAGUAGGGAAUAUUGGACAAUGGGCGAAAGCCUGAUCCAGCCAUGCCGCGUGAUAGAUGAAGGCCCUCUGGGUUGUAAAUAUCUUUUAUCUGGGAAGAAACUCCUCUAUUCUUAGAGGCCUGACGGUACCAGAGGAAUAAGCACCGGCUAACUCCGUGCCAGCAGCCGU
rnacentral:rRNA from 1 species